GACGAACGCUGGCGGCGUGCUUAACACAUGCAAGUCGAACGAGUGGCGAACGGGUGAGUAACACGUGAGCAACGUGCCCAGGACUCUGGAAUAACCGCGGGAAACCGUGGCUAAUACCGGAUAGUUCUGGAUGGGCUCACGGCCUAUCAGCUUGUUGGUGGGGUAAUGGCUACCAAGGCGCGACGGGUAGCCGGCCUGAGAGGGUGACCGGCCACACGGGGACUGAGACACGGCCCAGACUCCUACGGGAGGCAGCAGUGGGGAAUAUUGCACAAUGGGCGCAAGCUUGAUGCAGCAACGCCGCGUGGGGGAUGACGGCCUUCGGGUUGUAAACCUCUUUUAGUAGGGAAGCGGUACCUGCAGAAAAAGCACCGGCUAACUACGUGCCAGCAGCCGCGGUAAUAC
rnacentral:rRNA from 1 species